rnacentral:rRNA from 1 species
CAGUCGCCGCGGGAAUACGAAGGGGGCUAGCGUUGUUCGGAAUCACUGGGCGUAAAGGGUGCGUAGGCGGAUUCUUAAGUCAGGGGUGAAAUCCCGAGGCUCAACCUCGGAACUGCCUUUGAUACUGGGGAUCUUGAGUCCGGAAGAGGUGAGUGGAACUGCGAGUGUAGAGGUGAAAUUCGUAGAUAUUCGCAAGAACACCGGUGGCGAAGGCGGCUCACUGGUCCGGAACUGACGCUGAGGCACGACAGCGUGGGGAGCAAACAGGAUUAGAGACCCGCGUAGUCCCUGUCUCUUAUAC